rnacentral:rRNA from 1 species
GAUGAACGCUGGCGGCGUGCCUAAUACAUGCAAGUCGAGCGAAGCGGGGACGGGUGAGUAACACGUGGAUAACCUCCUAUAAGACUGGGAUAACUUCGGGAAACCGGAGCUAAACCGGAAACUUAUAGAUGGAUCCGCGCGGCAUUAGCUAGUUGGUAAGGUAACUGCUUACAAAGGCAACGAUGCAUAGCCGACCUGCAAGGGUGAACGGCAACACUGGAACUGAGACACGGUCCAGACUCCUACGGGAGGCAGCAGUAGGGAAUCUACCGCAAUAGGCGAAAGCCUGAAGGAGCAAUGCCGAGUGAGUGAUGAAGGUCUUCGGAUCGUAAACCUCUGUUAUUAGGGAAGCGGUACCUAAUCAGAAAGCCACGGCUAACUACGUGCCAGCCGCCGCGGUAAUUC